GCUGUAGCUCAGUGGCAGCACAUCUGCCUCGCAUGCAAAAGGUCCCAUGUUCAACCCCUGGCAUCUCCA